GACAUACCCUUGAGUGCACAAUAACGUAACAUAAAACUUUAUGUGGAAUAAAAAAAAUUGUAUUUUCCAGCAAUUUGUAAUAUAAUUCUGCUAAACACAUCUAAUAAUUCUGCUAAACACAUUCAAAAAAUUAGUUGUUAUAAGAUAAAAUUGUACCUCAAACCUAUAGACCAACCACCGGCAGCAAUCGUUAAAGCUCAAACUAUGUGCAGAAAAGGGGGAAAAAAUCCUACACUACUGUCCUGUACCAAUUUUAAGCAUUUAAUAAAACCAGAAUCAAAAUAUGAGCUAACUAUUAGGGCAUGGGGAUCCAUGAAUUAACAAAAGGGUGUGAUAUGAAUGUAACUAACAAGGGGUUAGAUUUGCAACCGACUAAAAGCAGAUAAGUAGUAUUAGAAAAUGAGAUUAGAAGAAGAUUAACUAACCUCUUGACAAAAAGAGAAUGUUAAGUAUAUGAGAUUUAGGGUUAAUUUUAUAUAGUUGAAGUUGAAGCUAUAGUAGCAGAUCGAUGGGCGAAGCAAAUAUGCUGUGUGUUUUUCCUUUAUCUGGGAAUUUUGGAAGAAAGAAUUAUGGAGGCGAGAGAUACAGAAGGAGGGGGAGGGG
rnacentral:lncRNA from 1 species